ensembl:lncRNA
GGAUUGCUCACGUUACUUCAGCCAAUCAGAGAACUGUGCAUGAGUGGAUUGCUUAUCAUGUAGCCCCCCUCCCUCACCAGGCCUUUCAAAAUACUUUGCUGAAACCUUCUGGGGAGUUGGGGGUUUGGGGGGCAAGAAAGAAAGUGAAGUCGCUCAGUGGUGUCCGACUCUUUGCGACCCCGUGGACUGUAGCCUACCAGGCUUCUCCAUCCAUAGGAUUCUCCAGGCAAGAAUACUGGAGUGGGUUACUGUUUCCUUCUCCAGAGGAUCUUCCUGACCCAAGGAUUGAACCCAGGUCUCCUGCAUUGGAGGCAGACACUUUAACCACUGAGCCACCAGGGAGCGACCCAUUUUCCUUGCAUGGCCUGCAGUAAGCCUUUCUCUGUUCCAAACACCAACAUUUCAGUACUGUUUGGCCUCACUGUGCCAUCAGGCACAAGGACUUGGCCUUUGGGAACAAGAGAAACAGAGGCCUGAGCCCCUUUCCAGAAGAUUUCCCAGCUGAGCUGAUUGGCUGUGGCAUUAGUCCAGGUAACCAAGUACCCUUUCCACGCAGAAGCAGCAGACCCAGAGUCAUAGCCAAGCACAAGCACAUACGUCUUUCACAGAGCACUGCGCUCUCUCAGGGCCGAGUCUCACCUUGGAGGUUGAUGAUGCUCCGAAGUCACGGGGAGCUGGAGCCCAUCUCCACCGACAGCCGUCUGGCUUUUGGAUUCCAGUCACAUUCUUCACCAGCCGAAGGGAGUGCUCAAGAUAGGGCAGAGGCAUUUGAAUCAAGACCUGACUCCUGUGUUUUCCACUUUUUGCUACCUCAUCUCUUCCCUGAGAGAUAUGUAGCCUCACUUGUCUGGCAUCUUAUCCAAGAAGACUUCCUUUUCUCUGGUUCCCUGUGGAAUGCAUAUUAAGCCAUUGGAGAGAGAAGAGUGGACAAAUGUGAGGGCACGAUGGUUUUUGAGUGUCGGCCUUGGCGCGGCUGUCGAGAUCGAGAGAUACUGCAGUUUGUUCAUCGCGGGAAGGGUGUUUCCCAGGAUGGUUAAAGAGAAAAUUGCACUGAUGAAAGAAUAUAUUCAGUCAAAAUAAAAUAAUUCUCUGGAAAUGAAGAUUUCUCCCGUUGACCUGCAUUGUGUGUGUGUGUGUAUUUUUAAACAAAUUUUCAACUCUUUUUUAUUUUUAUUUUUUGUAACAACUGCCAGGAAAAAAAUUUAAACCUUGACUUUGAUGUUUUGAACUUUCCGAGUAAGUUGAUGUAUGUACAUCAUGAUUAAAGACCAAACACUGGCUAAUACCUACCUGGUAAAAACCGAUGGCAAAUUAAUUAAACAGAGUGCGUUUUAUUCUAUAUAAAA